rnacentral:rRNA from 1 species
AUUGAACGCUGGCGGCAGGCCUAACACAUGCAAGUCGAGCGGUAGCACAGGGAGCUUGCUCCCGGGUGACGAGCGGCGGACGGGUGAGUAAUGUCUGGGGAUCUGCCCGAUAGAGGGGGAUAACCACUGAAAACGGUGGCUAAUACCGCAUAACGUCGCAAGACCAAAGAGGGGGACCUUCGGGCCUCUCACUAUCGGAUGAACCCAGAUGGGAUUAGCUAGUAGGCGGGGUAAUGGCCCACCUAGGCGACGAUCCCUAGCUGGUCUGAGAGGAUGACCAGCCACACUGGACCUGAGACAGGGUCCAGACUCCUACGGGAGGCAGCAGUGGGGAAUAUUGCACAAUGGGCGCAAGCAUGAUGCAGCCAUGCCGCGUGUAUGAAGAAGGCCUUCGGGUUGUAAAGUACUUUCAGCGGGGAGGAAGGCGGUGCGGUUAAUAACCGCGUCGAUUGACGUUACCCGCAGAAGAAGCACCGGCUAACUCCGUGCCAGCCGCCGCAGUAA